rnacentral:snRNA from 1 species
GUCCCUUUGGGGACAUCCGAUAAAAUUGGAACGAUAUAGAGAAGAUUAGCAUGGCCCCUGCGCAAGGAUGACACGGACAAAUCGAGAUACGGUCCAAUUUUUU